ACAGUGCACUUUUAGAGAAAAGGAAGAUUAUCUGAAAGAAAAAAAAAAAAGGUAGUGUGCUACACGAGGGGCAAGUGUUUCGCUAACACCACAAGGGUCUCUGGCCCAAUGAGUGGGGUUGGAUAAUAAUACUUGCUACAAAA